rnacentral:rRNA from 1 species
CAGGACGAACGCUGGCGGCGUGCCUAACACAUGCAAGUCGAACGGAACUCUUUGGAUCAAGGCUUCGGCCAAGUGAAUUUGAGUUUAGUGGCGGACGGGUGAGUAACGCGUGAGCAACCUGCCUUUCAGAGGGGGACAACAGUUGGAAACGACUGCUAAUACCGCAUAACACAUCGAGGGGGCAUCCCCAUGAUGUCAAAGAUUUAUCGCUGAAAGAUGGGCUCGCGUCUGAUUAGCUAGUUGGUGGGGUAACGGCCUACCAAGGCGACGAUCAGUAGCCGGACUGAGAGGUUGAACGGCCACAUUGGGACUGAGAUACGGCCCAGACUCCUACGGGAGGCAGCAGUGGGGAAUAUUGGGCAAUGGGGGCAACCCUGACCCAGCAACGCCGCGUGAAGGAAGAAGGCUUUCGGGUUGUAAACUUCUUUUACCAGGGACGAAGACGUGACGGUACCUGGAGAAAAAGCCACGGCUAACUACGUG